rnacentral:misc_RNA from 1 species
GCAAACUUGGUCAUUUAGAGGAAGUAAAAGUCGUAACAAGGUUUCCGUAGGUGAACCUGCGGAAGGAUCAUUAACAAAGUGUAAAAAAACCCUCAUUCUUUAGAAAGAGGGGGAUUCACAAAAAUCCUCACUUUGUGUGCAUUGUUUUAUUGUAUUUGGCGGUUCAUUUUUUGAUUGUUCUUGUUAUUUUAUUAUAACAAAAAUUUUUCAAAGAGGGAACCGCCACUUGUAUUUCUACAUACAAAACUUUGUGUUAUAAAUAUAUAUUUUUGUCUGAUUUUUGUAAAAAAUUGUGUUUAAAAGCAAUUUUAAAAAAAACAAAAAACAACUUUUGACAACGGAUCUCUUGGCUCUCGCAUCGAUGAAGAACGCAGC